GCCUGUUCUCGGGGCGGGGUGAAAUUCCCCACCGGCGGUGAUAGCCCGCGAGCGCCUGCAUUCCGCAGGGUCAGCAGAUCCGGCGAAAUUCCGGGGCCGACGGUAUAGUCCGGAUGAAAGAGAAUGGAC
rnacentral:ncRNA from 2 species